rfam:Micromonospora nigra strain DSM 43818 genome assembly, contig: Ga0070616_13
CUUGACCGACCCCAACCACAACGGCUUCCCGGGAUCGCGGCCCUGACCGUAGGUGGCCAGCAACGCCUGCGCCUC